UAGAGCACAUCCAACAGUCUCCAGACGUAGACAAUAUGGAGAGUGGAGUUGAUGAGGCCCAGGCUGCAGAGAAUCUUGCCCAGCUAGAGCACAUCCAACAGUCUGCAGACGUAGACGUUAUGGAGAGUGCAGUUGAUGAGGCCCUGGCUC